UAUACAUGACGUGUGUGAUAUGAAGGUGAAUCCAGUCCAUGUAGUGAACUGUGUGCUGUAUUGAUGAGGAGCUCAGUGAUCAGAGUCCAUGUAGUUUCCAGGAUCAGACUGAAUGCAGUGCUGGAAGCUGCUGUUGACUGUGUGAAUGUGUGUCUGUGCUGCUUGUUGCUGCUGUCAAACUUCAGAUAACCCGGUAGUGAAGCCCGUGGUGAGCGUGUACCCAGCAGCAUCCAGAGCCCACCAUGAGGGGAAGAGCUCCCUGCUGUGUGUGGCCUCAGGCAUGUUUCCUCCUCUGGUCCGCUUCUCCUGGAAAAGACGAAAGGAGAACAGUCUGACGGAGGAGCUGGCACCUGCUGAGGAGGAGCAGCUGGAGCUCAGAGAGUCGGGACGCACCGCCGCCAUCAGAGUGAUUGAUCGGGACGCUCUCUAUACGUAUAAAUACCGCUGCUACGUCCAGCACGAGGGGGGGGAAGUGAAGGCCCAAACAGAACAAGCGAUCUGUUUUUUGAACCAGGUGAAACUGCUCUGUGUGCUGUACACAGUGCUGAUAGUGAAGAGUCUGGUGUACUGCUGUGGACUCUCUCUGCUGAGGAUCCUCAGAACAAGGGACC